GAUUUUUAAUUUGUAGGAUUUUAAUUAAAAGAAAAAGGAAAAAUUAACAAAAUAAAAGAAGAGAAUUGGAUAAGAAAGGUUUGUCUUGUGAAAUUGGGCCAACAUUAAUGCUGGGCCCAAAGCCUAUACCCGAAUCUUCCCAUACCCAAUAACCCACUCAAAGCCCAAUCUCCCUACCCAAAUACCCAUUACCCUUUACCCUACCUCCUACAUGUAAAAACACAAUUUAGAAACCAAAAAAAAGGACCUCAUCCCUGAGAUCAGGGAAUCAGCACAGCUUUUUUGGAAAAGAGACCUUCCCGUUCGUCUUCUUCUUCACAAAUCAACAACCAGAGAGACUCCCCCCUCACGUCUUCGUCUCCACCCCAAAACCAGUCAAAGCGGCCAUUAAAAUUAACCCCAAACAGUCACCAAAAAUCGGUAAAUGGCUGUUUCCUUCAGCUGAAUUUAAAAGGAAUUCGAAAAGGUCGAGUCCAAAGUCUAUUGUGUCAUCGAGGUUCGAGUUUGUGCCCGUCGAUGUUUCGGACUUGUUGAAGUCUCAUUACUGUUGAAGUUGUCGAAUCUGCUGGGUUAUCUGGUUCAGAGCUGUGGAUUUGUGCUCUAGUUGCUAUUGCUGUUGAUCUUCCUUACAAAUAGAAGUCGGAGCUGUUUGCGGUUGUUUCUCCUGCAGUUAGUAGCUGAACACCCAUUUGAAGUUAUUUUCGGCCUUUAUUUGGCUAUUUUAAAGUCUUACUACUGCUGUCCAGAAAUUUUUAUAUAUAAAAAGCUGUUUUGGAGCCCUGGAAUUGCUGCUCGUUGUCCGUUGAUUUGCGUUGUCGUUACACUGUUUCUCGUUGUUGUUCUGUCGCUAUGGAGCUACAUUUGUUUUUAACUCCAUACUUUAUUUGAUUAAUUUCUGCCCGGAAAAGGAAAUGACUGGAGUUGUGUACUGCAUUUGGAGCUGUGUAGUCAAAUGCAUUUGCUGAAGAACCCGAAAUCAUUGCGUGAGAUCUGCUGGUUCUCAUCGGAAUUUUGGGAGUCAAAUAUAGAGCUGUGGCUGAUUAUUUCUACUGCUAUCAAGGAGAUAUUCGCUGGAACAGGCAUUGGAAGGUUAUUUCGUGAGGAAUUAAGGUCAAGUUGGAGUUGCUCUUUCUGUUUAAAGACUAAGGAGUCGUGACAUUUGCAUAGCUUGAGGUUGGGCAGUAUAUACAAGGUCCUGAUAGACAGGUAGACACAGCUUCCCCACCACAGUAGGCUGCCCAGUUCAGCUGUUAUUGGCGAGAUCCCUUCUCCGGACUUGCCGUGGUCUUGGUUUGGAGCAUUUGGAGGCUGAGUCGAGAGGCAAGAG